rnacentral:rRNA from 1 species
AUACGUAGGGGGCGAGCGUUGUCCGGAAUGACUGGGCGUAAAGGGCGUGUAGGCGGUUGUCUAAGUCUGGAGUGAAAGUCCUGCUUUCAAGGUGGGAAUAGCUUUGGAUACUGGAUGACUUGAGUGCGGAAGAGGUAAGUGGAAUUCCCAGUGUAGCGGUGAAAUGCGUAGAGAUUGGGAGGAACACCAGUGGCGAAGGCGACUUACUGGGCCGUAACUGACGCUGAGGCGCGAAAGCGUGGGGAGCGAACAGGAUUAGAUACCCUGGUAGUCCACGCGGUAAACGAUGAAUGCUAGGUGUUGCGGGUAUCGACCCCUGCAGUGCCGGAGUAAACACAAUAAGCAUUCCGCCUGGGGAGUACGGCCGCAAGGUUGAAACUCAAAUGAAUUGACGGGG